GAGGCAGCAGUGGGGAAUUUUGGACAAUGGACGCAAGUCUGAUCCAGCAAUGCCGCGUGCAGGACGAAGGCUUCGGGUUGUAAACUGCUUUUGUACAGAACGAAAAGGCUCUGGUUAAUACCUGGGGCUCAUGACGGUACUGUAAGAAUAAGCACCGGCUAUACUACGUGCCAGCAGCCGCGG
rnacentral:rRNA from 1 species